rnacentral:rRNA from 1 species
UACGAAGGGGACUAGCGUUGUUCGGAAUUACUGGGCGUAAAGGGCGCGUAGGCGGCCCGCUAAGUCGAACGUGAAAUCCCCGAGCUCAACUCGGGAACUGCGUCCGAUACUGGCGGGCUUGAAUCCGGGAGAGGGAUGCGGAAUUCCAGGUGUAGCGGUGAAAUGCGUAGAUAUCUGGAGGAACACCGGUGGCGAAGGCGGCAUCCUGGACCGGCAUUGACGCUGAGGCGCGAAAGCUAGGGGAGCAAACGGGG